rnacentral:rRNA from 1 species
AUUGAACGCUGGCGGCAUGCUUUACACAUGCCAGUCGAACGGCAGCGCGGGCUUCGGCCUGGCGGCGCGUGGCGAACGGGUGAGUAAUACAUCGGAACGUGCCCAGUAGUGGGGGAUAGCUCGGCGAAAGCCGGAUUAAUACCGCAUACGACCUGAGGGUGAAAGCGGGGGAUCUUCGGACCUCGCGCUCUUGGAGCGGCCGAUGGCAGAUUAGCUAGUUGGUGGGGUAAAGGCCUACCAAGGCGCCGAUCUGUAGCUGGUCUGAGAGGACGACCGGCCACACUGGGACUGAGACACGGCCCAGACUCCUACGGGAGGCAGCAGUGGGGAAUUUUGGACAAUGGGCGAAAGCCUGAUCCAGCAAUGCCGCGUGUGUGAUGAAGGCCUUCGGGUUGUAAAGCACUUUUGGCGGGAACGAAAAGGACUGUGCCAAUACCACGGUUCGAUGACGGUACCCGCAGAAUAAGCACCGGCUAACUACGUG